GAUGUGAAAUCCCCGGGCUCAACCUGGGAACUGCAUUCGAAACUGGCAGGCUAGAGUCUUGUAGAGGGGGGUAGAAUUCCAGGUGUAGCGGUGAAAUGCGUAGAGAUCUGGAGGAAUACCGGUGGCGAAGGCGGCCCCCUGGACAAAGACUGACGCUCAGGUGCGAAAGCGUGGGGAGCAAACAGGAUUAGAUACCCUGGUAGUCCACGCCGUAAACGAUGUCGAUUUGGAGGUUGUGCCCUUGAGGCGUGGCUUCCGGAGCU
rnacentral:rRNA from 1 species